CACGUAGGGCGCAAGCGUUGUCCGGAAUUAUUGGGCGUAAAGAGCUCGUAGGCGGUCUGUUGCGUCCGCUGUGAAAACCCGGGGCUUAACCCCUGGCUUGCAGUGGAUACGGACAGACUAGAGGUAGGUAGGGGAGACUGGAAUUCCUGGUGUAGCGGUGAAAUGCGCAGAUAUCAGGAGGAACACCGGUGGCGAAGGCGGCAUCCUGGACCGGUAUUGACGCUGAUGCGCGAAAGCCAGGGGAGCAAACGGG
rnacentral:rRNA from 1 species